AUUGAACGCUGGCGACAUGCCUUACACAUGCAAGUCGAACGGCAGCACGGGUGCUUGCACCUGGUGGCGAGUGGCGAACGGGUGAGUAAUACAUCGGAACAUGUCCUGUAGUGGGGGAUAGCCCGGCGAAAGCCGGAUUAAUACCGCAUACGAUCUACGGAUGAAAGCGGGGGACCUUCGGGCCUCGCGCUAUAGGGUUGGCCGAUGGCUGAUUAGCUAGUUGGUGGGGUAAAGGCCUACCAAGGCGACGAUCAGUAGCUGGUCUGAGAGGACGACCAGUCACACUGGGACUGAGACACGGCCCAGACUCCUACGGGAGGCAGCAGUGGGGAAUUUUGGACAAAGGGCGAAAGCCUGAUCCAGCAAUGCCGCGUGUGUGAAGAAGGCCUUCGGGUUGUAAAGCACUUUUGUCCGGAAAGAAAUCCUUGGCCCUAAUACGGUCGGGGGAUGACGGUACCGGAAGAAUAAGCACCGGCUAACUACGUG
rnacentral:rRNA from 1 species